rnacentral:lncRNA from 1 species
AGCAUUAAGAUCAAACAAAACCCGUUACGAAUAAGCACUACAAUAAGAUGUUCAUGUCCAAAAGCAUGGCCACUAUCAAAAGUGAGGAAAAUACAUUACCUUUGAUAGGCGUCCAGAAUCAAGAUCCCUUCUAAACUUGGUCUCCAAUGCUCGACUAACAGUAUCCACCUCUUUCAUGGGUACCGCAAAGCACACCGAGUGUUCACUACUGGCCUGCACGUAAUGUAAGUAAUGUUGUCAAUUUAGCUAUUUUUUUAGAUGAUAAUAAUAGUGAUAAUAAUUGUAAAACACCUUAUCCGGACCUAUCUCUGUGUGCUCUUGGAUAACUCUACAUACCAAAACCUUAACGUUAAAAUGCUCAGCACUGGCUCAAAAGGAAAAGAACAUAUCAAAGCCGAAAGUGAUCUCACCUGGGAGAUCAUGACCACGUUCGCACCCACACCUUUCACAGCGUCGAAAAUAUCACUUGCUGUUCCAGGAACUCCUGCCAUGCCUGU